rnacentral:rRNA from 1 species
CCCCUAGAUGUUCUGGGCCGCACGCGCGCUACACUGAACAGUUCAACAAGUCUUAACCUUGGCCGAUAGGUCUGGGUAAUCUUUGAACGCUGUUCGUGAUUGUGAUAGACCUUUGCAAUUAUGGGUCUUCAACGAGGAAUUCCUAGUAAACGCAAGUCAUCAGCUUGCAUUGAUUACGUCCCUGCCCUUUGUACACACCGCCCGUCGCACCUACCGAUUGAAUGGUCCGGUGAAAUCUCGGGACGGCGGCUUGGUCGCUUGCGUCCGACUGCUGAAACUUGAUUAAACCAUAUCAUUUAGAGGAAGGUGAAGUCGUAACA